GACGUAGGGGGCGAGCGUUGUCCGGAUUCAUUGGGCGUAAAGCGCGCGUAGGCGGCUGCGCAAGUCGGUUGUGAAAUUCCGGGGCUCAACCCCGGAACUGCGUCCGAUACUGCGUGGCUAGAGGUAGGCAGGGGAGAUCGGAAGUCCUGGUGUAGCGGUGAAAUGACGCAGAUAUCAGGAGGAACACCGGUGGCGAAGGCGGGUCUCUGGGCAGUAACUGACGCUGAGGAGCGAAAAGCGUGGGGAGCGAACAGG
rnacentral:rRNA from 1 species